UACAGAGGGUGCAAGCGUUAAUCGGAAUUACUGGGCGUAAAGCGUGCGUAGGCGGUUCGGCAAGUCGGAUGUGAAAUCUCCACGCUUAACGUGGAGGGGCCAUUCGAAACUGCUGUGACUCGAGUCCGGUAGGGGAGUGUGGAAUUCCCGGUGUAGCGGUGAAAUGCGCAGAUAUCGGGAAGAACACCCGUGGCGAAGGCAGCUCGCUGGGACGGUACUGACGCUAAGGCGCGAAAGCGUGGGGAGCGAACAGG
rnacentral:rRNA from 1 species